UGAAUUCCUUGUCAGCUUCAUAUGAAAGGCCCUGGUACAGGAAAAAUCUUUUGUUUUUUAUUCUUGUGUGUUUGAGACGUAACUUAAUUUGGGGCUAAACUGGUUCAAAAUAGCAUAUCAAUUCCAAUCAUUUUUUAAUUAACCAUGAUUAAGUUGGAGCUCGAUACCUCGGCCAAGCUGAGACCACUGUCUGUAAACAGCUCUGCUCCAAUUUAGGGAAGUUUUAAAUGGACACCUGGGGGUGACCUGCACAUAGUUGGUACAGAUGGGCCAAGAACUUGUAUUCCUGUCUAUUAGGUCUUACCAUAGGAGCUCAGCAGGGCAAGCUAUCACCUCACUCACAGCUCUCUAAUGACCUUAUUUCUGAAUUUCUAUGGGGAAAAUCUAAGGAUGUCAAAUGUCUGCUUUCCUGUGCAAUGAUCAGCUGAAACCAGUUCACUUGUAAUUCUUGUUGGCUUUCCUGAUCACCCACAAUAUCAUUGCUCAUUAGUUUUUUAAAUAGAAGAAAAUGUAUGCUGAAUGCAUAAAGGUAGAACAUAGGUGAGCUAGAGAGUUUGCUGUUCUCUUUCCCUUUGUUUGUUGUCAAUGCCAAAAUUGCUAUAAAAGAAGACAGGGAAAAGCUUGAUUAUGCAGUAAUGAACAAAAACAAAAAAAAGGAAAUGAAUGUGCUUGUCAUCUUCACUCUUAACAGACAUCAAAUGGUACUUUAGAAAAUUUACUUAGCAAGCAAUGAGAGUCCCAGUAGUUCCUUCCUACUUCGGUUUCCUCGUAUUCUGAGUUACUAUAAUCAUAAAAUGGAGGUAGAAGUUUUAGGUUAGGAAGUUUUCAAGGAAUACCAUGUUCAAAAAUGUUACCAACUCCAUGGAAAAAAGUAAGUUCAGACAUUUGGUGUGAAGACUCAUGUGUGAACUGCUCUCUCCCUUAGGGAACAGAGGAAUAGCUAUUUCUGUACUUCAGAAAACAAGAUUUUGGCCUGGGGAAGAAGAAAAUAUAUUUCAUGCAUAUGUCUAUUAAGCUGCUAUACUUCUAUUCCAGAGCUGCACAAGAGAAAACUAAGCUUGUGCCAAUUUCAAUAUUUCUCUGGCAAUUUACUAUUUUCCAAUAGAAAAAUCUAUGAUCUGUUAACUUCUCUUUAGUGAAUUGUGACUUUGGGAUUUUUUUUUUAAUAUUAAAUAUUUUGUAAGCUCAUUAUUGCAUUUCUGGACUGAGAUAACUGAACUGGGAUCAGAAAUUGGCUCAGUAACAGGCUUCUACUUUUGUUUAAAUGUCUAUAUAGUUAGUAAGGGCCAUUAAACAUUAAAUUUUAUCACCAGUGUGUGCUCUGGCCUUCCAGAUUUAAAGUAAACUGGAAAGAAAAAAGAACCUUAAGCAGCUCUUCUUCUUGUGUUUCUUUUCCUCGUUGCCAGCAUCUUCAAAACAUGAGCUUGUAAUUCCGCUGAUGGGACAGUGAGGUGUUGUCUUCACUACUGUGCUGCAGAGCUCUGUAUCUUAAGGAUAUUAUUAUCUUUCAAUUUUUAAUAGUCUGCUCUGACUGCAUCUGUAUCCAGCAAGAAAUGCCGUUCCCAACUAUGCUGAGUAUUCCCUUUGAUUAAAGUGCACUUGCCUGCUCUGAGGAGAGGCAGGUGUGUCAGCUCUGCUCUUGGCUUCUCUUGUCACUGUUGACACCCAGUUCUUGUGCUCCUCUAGUGGCAGUCUCAUCUCCUUUCACCUCUCGCAUUUAGCACCUGUGAGCAGUCUCUGCAGGACUUUUCCCCAGCUGCUGGGGCACUCCAAAGAUGCAUAAGUACCAGAAGAAAUGAGGUAAGUGCCUUUAUAUUCCAGCUAAUCCUUGAGGCUUAGCUCAUUCUCUCUUCAUAUUACUGUAAAACUCAUUGUAAGACUCUGAACAGGGCAAAAUUCAUUCACCUACAGAAAAACUCUAGUGAGACCAUUUAUAGUGAAACCAGAAACAGCCCUGCUGGUCUUUCCCUCUGGCUGCAUGGACUAACGGGGUUGCACAUUUGCUUGUGUUGUGGCAGAGCUCUAAUGGAGACCUGAGGGCAUCAGAUCAGAUGUCCCCAUCUGAGUAGCCCCUCUGAAUACAGUGCAUAGUCUUCAUCAAAUAACCUAUGUCUUGUUUAAGUUCCUUGGACUGGGUGUAAUUUUUCCCCAGCUUUUGAACAUCUUAGUAAAAUAUUGUGGAAGAGUUUGUUGCUCUGGUUGGUGUUUUAUAAACAGACUAUUCAAGAAGGACUGCAGCUCUGUCUUGUAGAAGAUUAGAACACAAACAAGGAGAAUGGAAUCUCAGAGCAUCUGGAUGUGAGACUAGAGGGAGUUAGGAGCAGGUGGGUAAUGUUAAUGAAAUGGCUCACAGUGCAUGAAGUUGAACCCCAAAAAGAUGAAGAAUUUCAAAUUGUUCUGAAACAGUUAACUCACUGUGAAAAGCAAUCAGACAUAUUGUAAGUUAAUGUUUUUAUUCAAUACCAUUUUCCCUCUUUUCUCUUAGAUAAAUAUGUUAUUUGAAAAGCAAAUUUAGGGGUAAAUGGCCCAGUGGGAAAAUAGGAGGAAGGUGUGUGGAGGGUGAACUAUUGCAGAGGUAUCAGCUGUUACCAGUUAGAAUGUUUCCUUUUAUCAUCUCUUGAAGAUUCAUUCAGUGUUCUCAUAUGAAAAGCAAAUUAUAGAAAAAUUGGCUGGUUUUAGCAAGCAGAUGCUUAGCUCAUGUAAUUAUUGCCUUCAGCAGAUAGUUUUGUCUAUCCUGCACACCUAAAGAGAUUGUCCAGAGGGAAAACUAUUAGUAAUCAUUUCUGCUACGGUGCCUUCUGAGUAUCUAAUUUUGGAUUACUGUGAUCUGAUAUAAGACUAAACUUGAGAGAAGGGAGAUGGUGGUAGAACCUUGGCAUCUUUGUCAAAAAAAGAAAAUGUUUGUUUAGCAUUGACUAUAAAAACUGAUUAUGAAAAGCAAAACUGAUUAUGAAAAGGCAUACUUGGAAUGUCAAAAUAAAAAAUAUUACAGUAUAGUAAGCAAACUGUACUUAAAAUAUAAAAUCAACCUGGAUAGAUCUUAAAUCAUUGUGCAUUAAAAUCUCUUCAUUCUAGACUCAAAUGGAAGCAUAACUGUCUUGUGCAAGGAUAGGUUUCUAGAAAGCAAGAUAUUUAGCUGGAUGCAAACAGAAAAUCUUCACAGGAAGACACCCAUUUCUAUUAGCUGGAUGUACAAUGAUCUACUUCAUCACACAGUCAAAAAGGCCUGAAGUAAGAAAACCAAGCAAUUUUCAGCAUGUGCUCUGCAUCUGUAAUUUCAGCUUUGCAUCUGCUGAGGAGAG